rnacentral:rRNA from 1 species
CCCAAAUGACCGCCGGCUCCCGACGGAGGCCCCCGCCGCCCCGCCGCCGCGCCUCCCCCAUGGCGCCUUCCCCCCUCUCCGUAUCCUCCACCAACGCCUCCCCGCCGCCGCGCCGCCUCCGCCGCACGGCCGUCGCGGCCGCCGGCGCCGCGCUCGCGACGCUCCUCCUCCUCGCCGCGGCCGCCGCCGUCUGGCGCCCGGGCUACCUCCCCGCCGCGCUCCUCCGCCGGCCGCCGCCCGCCGCCGCCAGGUUCUACUCCUUCGACCUGGUCCGCGAGUACCCGCACGACCCCAAGGCCUUCACCCAGGGCCUCCUGUACGGGGGGAACGACACUCUCUUCGAGUCCACCGGUCUCUAUCACCAGUCGUCGGUCCGAAAGGUUGAUCUUCAAACUGGGAAAGUUUUAGAGCAGCACCGAAUGGAUGGAUGGAUGUUUGGAGAAGGCCUUACACUUCUAGGCGACAGAUUGUUUCAAGUUACUUGGCGGAAGAAUGAUGGAUUCAUAUACGACCGGCAUAACUUUAGCAUACGUGAGAGUUUUACCCAUAAAAUGCGUGACGGGUGGGGGCUAGCCACCGAUGGAAAAAUUCUAUUUGGCAGUGAUGGCACCUCAAGUUUGUACCAGCUGGAUCCAGAAUCACUUGAAGUGACGAAGACAGUAACAGUGAAAUAUCAAGACAAUGCUGUUUCCUUUAUUAAUGAACUGGAGUAUAUAAAUGGUGAAGUAUGGGCAAAUGUCUGGCAGACAGAUUGCAUAGCUAGAGUUUCCCAUGAGGAUGGCCAAGUGGCGAGCUGGAUCUUUCUUCAUGAGCUUAGGCAGCAAUUGUGGGAUUCUGGCAACACGGCCAUUGAUGUUCUAAACGGUAUAGCUUGGGACGAAGAAAAGAACAGAUUGUUUGUGACCGGGAAAUUAUGGCCAAAGCUUUAUGAGAUCAAGCUUCGCCCAGUCGACGGGCCACCGAACGGGUCUGUGGAGAGGCUGUGCCCAAGGGCAAGCUUUUAUUGAUGACAAGUGUCGACGAGGAUGCCGAGGCAAGAUUUUUUUUUUGCCUCGGCGAGGAUAUGUAAAUGUAUUAUGCCUCCUGUGGUCGAUUCGAGGCGAUCGGCAGUUGGAAGAUAGAUUAAUUUUUUUUGCUGUGACAUCGUAGUGGCGUGGCGGGAGAUAGCUGCUCGUCAGUUUCAUGUUGGGGCCCGUGUAGUUGUGUGUGUGAUCAUGUAUGUGUUUUCCCCUGAUGUAAAAGUUGUAAAGAUGAUGCUUCUGAUGUGAAGAAAUCUAAUACGAAAAGAACAAUUCAUUCGUGACAGCCCAAAUGUGUUCCAUGUGUCCUGUAAAGACGGUUCCUUG